rnacentral:rRNA from 1 species
GACGAACGCUGGCGGCGUGCCUAAUACAUGCAAGUUGAGCGCUGAAGGUUGGUACUUGUACCGACUGGAUGAGCAGCGAACGGGUGAGUAACGCGUGGGGAAUCUGCCUUUGAGCGGGGGACAACAUUUGGAAACGAAUGCUAAUACCGCAUAAAAACUUUAAACACAAGUUUUAAGUUUGAAAGAGGCAAUUGCAUCACUCAAAGAUGAUCCCGCGUUGUAUUUGCUAGUUGGUGAGGUAAAGGCUCACCAAGGCGAUGAUACAUAGCCGACCUGAGAGGGUGAUCAGCCAACUUGGGACUGAGACACCGCCCAAACUUCUACGGGAGGCAGCAGUAGGGAAUCUUCGGCCAUGGGCGAAAGUCUGACCGAGCCACGCCGCGUGAGUGAAGAAAGUUCUCGGAUCGUAAAACUCUGUUGGUAGAGAAGAACGUUGGUGAGAGUGGAAAGCUCAUCAAGUGACGGUAACUACACAGAAAGCGACGGCUAACUACGUG